ensembl:lncRNA
UAAAUUUAAAUGCUUUUAUUAACAAUCUUCUUACAUUACAAGGAUAAUAUGACAAAAGGAAAGUUUCUGCGUACAUAUUAUGAUAAACCAACAUAGCUCUAUUUGUAUCCAGUGUUCUAGGUCCCGUCACACAGGUACUAUAAAGCGUAGUCUGCAAAAUAAUAACAUCGAGGGUUUGUUUUUUUUUUAAGAAAGAAAGUAUUAACAUAUUAAUAUGUAUGUGAUAAUAGACUCCUAGGUAUUUCCCCCCAUCCCCACUUUAUUUUCCUCUGUGAUUGAAAUGAAACGGUUCAGCAGCGUGGGGGUGGAGAGGAGGAGAGAGACAACGGGGCUGAAAAAGACGGAAUCAGACUGCUGGCUCUUCCAGAGAGACAAAAGUGAAGAAACUGAGGGUGCCCCGAGGGCAGCCUGGCCCUUGUCUUUUGGGGAGCAGUGUAGUGACCAGCCGUCCUCCUCUGGAUGGAGGGCCCGGCGCCCUUGAUGCCCCGAGGAUGCUCUCUCUCUGAGGUACAGUGCAUUGUGGGAUUGCUACCCGAGGAUGCCCAUCCCCUGGCCACGGGUCUGACCCCCUGCAGCAGGAGGAAGGCUCUGGCCGGGCCUGGUCUCUCUUGAGCCAGGCACUGGAGGGUGUUCGGAGACCCGGUUGGCAGCUAGCGGUGGCUCAAGGAGACCAGGGUGGACGUGGAGUGGAGAAGAGGUGGGCAUUGGCAGAACAGACACCCCCCGCCCCAGACUGUGGGUAUGGGGGGGUGCUCUUCUGGAGACUGAGGUACGUUGGUAAAUGGUAUGGAAGUGUAGGACGGAGGUCAGAGGAGGCUGGGAGACGGGAGACGAGGCAAAAAGGCAGAGGCUGACUUAGAGGGCAGAGGGUGUGGCCACCCUCUAUCUCCCAUCCUCUGUGGCCCCAUCGGCCCUUCCUCCUCUACCUCCCUGGCGGGGAAAGAACCUGGAAGUGAAACGGAUUUCUGAUCCCAUCAGGGCUGCACAGGCCCUUCGUCACGCGGCCGGUGGCUCCGGUGCCCCCUCGGGCCCCCAGACGUCCCGGCCAUCCAGGAGCGGGGGCUGGGCCAAACCGAGGGAGGCGCCCUCCCCGGCGGAAGUGGAUGAGCUUGGAUGAGCUUGGGGCGUCUGGCUCAGCCUCUGCCUCGAGUCACAGAAUCAGAACAGUGUAUGUGAACUAGACCUGCCUGUUAACGGCGGCGCAGGUGGGGCCAGGGGUCACUGGGCACGGGAGAGGGGUGGGGGGCGCUGUCCCGAGUGCAGCCAGGAGCAGCCGCUGUGCAAAGUGGGCUGGGCCAAAGCCCCGCUUCUGAACUUGCGUUGCCACUGAAUUUAUGAGUGUGCGGAUGUCUCUCUCACCCUUUCCCAUUAGUUGACACCCCCCCUGCCCUGGCCGGAAAGCCUCUGGAUGGUGGGCAGCGCUGACUGGUGAUGCUGCCCUGGCAGGCGAUGAAAGAGUGGGUGAGGGAGGCCAGGACGGCUGUACUUCAGAGGCUUGGCCUCCAGGGCGGGGGUGGGGGGCAGCAAAAAGCGUCUAAAGUGGGGAGGUGGGGCAGCGGCAUCUCUCCUGGACCCGUCUCGGUCCAAUUCGCAGCUCUCCUAUCGCCACCAGUGCUGCCCGUUCCUGCGAGGGGGGCGGCAUCGGGGGAGAUUGUGCAGUGUCCCUCUCCCAGGGGGUCAGAGGCCACACCCUACUGCCGGGCAGCAGGGACCACCCAAGCGGAGGCUUGUUGGGGGCCAAAGGGGACACUUUGGAGGGAGCCCAGCGGGUGAGGAUCUCCUUUCGACCUCAGACUAAGCCUGCGUGCAGGAAAGGAGAGAAAAGUGCACGGGAGAGGGCCAGGGCCUGGCUACUCUCCUCUCCAACACUCCGGGUAGGAGGCCCCAUUCCCAGCAAACCCCGCCUGCUCAGCUGCCCCGGGCGCCCCUGCAAAGGCUCCAUGUCCUCCGUCUUCUCACAACACAGCGACAGCCUUUCCCGGUGCUCUCCCAGCUCUCUAUAGACUCUAUUUUUUAUAUCUAUUUAAAACAUAGAAAUGUAUAAAUAUAUAGGAUAUUAUUUAUAGAUAUAUAGACGUGAUUUCAUCUCUUACUCUGUGGGUACACGUACUGCAUAUGUCCAUAUAUACAAUAUAUAUGCUGUAGCAUUUUUAUUCUACACUGCACAUACCCCUGCUUCCAUGCACUCUCCUAGGGAGACUGGAUUGCAUAGGUAUUUCCAGGGCGAUACCACUUGAAGGGAUGGGGUCGGGGUGGGGAGGGCCAGAUGAAAGAGGAGGGCCAUACCAUUUUUCCUCCCGAAAGGGCACUUUUUCUCCCUCUGGCUAACACACAAAGAUCACCUCAAAGGUUUCUUAAAAUAUUACAGCUCCAGACACUCAGCUAAAGCACCUUGUCCACAGAGAGCAGAGAGAGGCCUUCCUCCAAGCAGGAGAAGGGCCCCUGCGGAUCCCUGGACAUAAUCUUCCCUCCUCAAGACUGGAGGAGGAAGCCAGCCUAGAAGCCAUGAGCCAGCACCGCCUCCCCCGGGGGAGGCUGGCGGUGGAAAUGGGGCUGUCCCAAGCUCACCUGCCUUGUGAACAUGCCUUUCUCAUCUAAGGAGGUCUGACCUCCCUGCUUUGGCUGUCCCAGGCUGGCCUGCUGCUUGAAAGGGUGAGAGGGGAUGAGGGCCUGAGCCUUCUGUCCAAACUGGAUGUAGGGACCAAGAAAGAACAUGAAUUCUACUUAGAAAUCAGACCGGAAGCCACAGCGAGCUCUGGAUACAGAAUUCCUGUUCCCACAGGUGAGAAAACAAAGGGGAAGGAAUCGAGAAGUUGUUUCAACCCCCAAGCCACUUUCUGGACCCCAUGAGGCUCCAAUAAACAGCCAAAACAGCGCCCACUCCACAGCCUGGUCUACUUCAGCCUCUCUGAGAUCAUUUUCAGCACUCAACACACUUUUGCCUAUUUUUUCCUUCUUGGCAACACUUCAAAACAAAUGGAAAAUAUUUAAACAUCACCUUAAA